rnacentral:tRNA from 1 species
GCCCACAUAGCUCAGUCGGUAGAGCACGCCCUUGGUAAGGGCGAGGUCGCCGGUUCGAAUCCGGCUGUGGGCUCCA